rnacentral:rRNA from 1 species
GUGCCAGCAGCCGCGGUAAUACGUAGGGUGCGAGCGUUGUCCGGAAUUAUUGGGCGUAAAGAGCUUGUAGGUGGUUUGUCGCGUCUGCUGUGAAAAUCCGAGGCUCAACCUCGGACUUGCAGUGGGUACGGGCAGACUAGAGUGUGGUAGGGGAGACUGGAAUUCCUGGUGUAGCGGUGGAAUGCGCAGAUAUCAGGAGGAACACCGAUGGCGAAGGCAGGUCUCUGGGCCAUUACUGACACUGAGAAGCGAAAGCAUGGGGAGCGAACAGGAUUAGAUACCCUCGUAGUCC